UCAGAAGUCAUCUUUCUUGUGCUGCUUCGCUUUGAUCUUUUUGGACAUUGCUUAUGGCUUCUUUAUGUCAAUUGUAUGAUUGAUAAACAAUUGAUUGAGUGAACGCCACAGCUUGAAGCACGGUCGAUGGCAAAACUUUGAUUAGCAGAGUGCCGGAUCUGAACCUAAAUAGAUUUCAUCACUUCUUCUCUUGAUCGUCAGAUCGAGUUUCUCGUUUGGUUUAGUCAUAUGCGAUGGAGCUUGUGGAGGGUCCUCUCUCAACUUACAAGACAUGUCUUAGCGUUAUAUACAUUAGUGCACGCACUACGCCUUUGCAAGCUAGGGGUAAUUAGGAAGGGACCGGAUGAAUGACUCAAAUUUCACUUUUCUCUAAAGAUAUGGUGUUCACUUCACCGCUCAUAGUUCAGAGACCAAGACACUGGAGUCGAGAGGCGUCGACGGAGCGGAAUUGCUCGGUGAGGCCGGAGCGGCUGCGGACGAUCCGACGGUGAUGGACAGCUUUUGACCAAGCUCGCAAUGUGAAUCGACGGUGCAGAU